UUAGCUCAGUUGGUUAGAGCAUGGUGUUAAUAAUGCCAAGGUCGCAGGUUCAACCCAUGUA
rfam:Alligator mississippiensis ScZkoYb_24, whole genome shotgun sequence.